UGUGACCAUACCAAACUGUUGCCUCGGCGGGGUCACGCCCCGGGUGCGUCGCAGCCCCGGAACCAGGCGCCCGCCGGAGGGACCAACCAAACUCUUUCUGUAGUCCCCUCGCGGACGUUAUUUCUUACAGCUCUGAGCAAAAAUUCAAAAUGAAUCAAAACUUUCAACAACGGAUCUCUUGGUUCUGGCAUCGAUGAAGAACGCAGCGAAAUGCGAUAAGUAAUGUGAAUUGCAGAAUUCAGUGAAUCAUCGAAUCUUUGAACGCACAUUGCGCCCGCCAGUAUUCUGGCGGGCAUGCCUGUCCGAGCGUCAUUUCAACCCUCGAACCCCUCCGGGGGGUCGGCGUUGGGGAUCGGGAACCCCUAAGACGGGAUCCCGGCCCCGAAAUACAGUGGCGGUCUCGCCGCAGCCUCUCCUGCGCAGUAGUUUGCACAACUCGCACCGGGAGCGCGGCGCGUCCACGUCCGUAAAACACCCAACUUCUGAAAUGUUGACCUCGGAUCAGGUAGGAAUACCCGCUGAACUUAAGCAUAUCAUA
rnacentral:rRNA from 1 species